GUGGUGAGACGCAGGGGCAGAGCCCUUUGUAAUGAUCAGGGCCGUCACAGCCAAUGGCUUGCGUCUCCACCUUAUUUAUUCUGAGGUAGCUUUUUGUGUCGGGAGGUGCCACAAUUUGUCUCCUCGUUAUUUCCUGCUACGCCCCUCCAGGCAACUUGCUACCGCACUUGUGCCUGUUGCUUGCUGGUGCCUGCUGGUGCCCUGCCUUGGUUGGUGAUGCGUGCAGGUUGUUGAUCGCGUAACAGUCUCGGUGUGGAUUCCAACCGAAUGCUAACAUUCAGCGGUGCGCUGUGAGCCGCUGGCUUAAGUAGGAAGUUGCCAACUUCCUGGUACUGCCGAUUGUGUCGUUGCCGACUGCUGUUUUUGCCACCCGUUGUUUACCACCAAAGCUGCCCAACUGUCCUGGGCUAGCCUGGAGGAUAGCGGCGAAGACGCCAACGACCACUAUCUGAACGUGAUCUGUCUGUUGACUUGUCCUUGUGUGUUUCCACCUGUCCGUGUCGCAACUAGUGUGUGUCGGUGUGUGUGUAGAGUGUUGGCGAGUGCGUGCGUGUUUGUCCUGGGCUAGCCUGGAGGAUAGCGGCGAAGACGCUAACGACCACUCUUUGAACGUGAUCUGUCUGUUGACUUGUCCUUGUGUGUUUCCAUCUGCCCGUGUCGCAACUAGUGUGUGACGGUGUGUGUGUGUGUAGAGUGUUGGCGAGUGCGUGCGUGUUUGUCCUGGGGAAGUGUUUGGUUUAAUUUGGGGGAUUUUGUUUAUAGUUUAUCACGCAUGUUUAAGAUCCUUUUUGGCCUGGUUCGUGUGUUUGUUAUAUUUUGUUUUCUUACUGAUUUCCUUUUUGUGAAUUACAUUUUGUGUAGUUGUGUUUAUUGUUUUGUUUGGUCGUUUGUAUCUACCCUCAUCUCUCUUUUGUUCCUUCGUUUCCAGGCGCUGAGUGCCCACCGCAGGGAGGCAACUAGAUCCUUUAGGUGGUGGUGCCACCUUCCCGAGUGUGGUUUCACGUGUGUCCUCUUGGAAUUUCUCUUUUAUCAUUUUGAUCCUGUGUUGCUGUGUGUAUGUGCGAGCACGAGUGACUGGUUGGUGUUUAUGUGUCUCCCCCCUCCGUCUCCUGGUAUCUUGCCCCCCCUGCUGGUAAGCCUCAGCCCUAACCAUCCUGUCUAUCCCCUACAUACCAAUUGAUUUCAUUUAUCCUGUUUGUUACAUGUGGAACACACAUGUUUUAGUUAAUAAAAACAACCUAUUUUUGGAACUUCGUCUCUGGUGCCGUCAGUCAACGAACGUGUGUGCUAUAUAAUUGUUUGGAUUUAAUUGAUUAGUAUAUCCCUGGGUGCAAUCCCUAGGGUGGCGUUGUCGUUUAGCUUGUUUUUUCCCCUUAAUGCCA